AAAAAAAAAAGAUCAUUGCACGCGUAUAGCUUAUGAAUUCGCCUAAUGCAUAAAUUUAUCCCUGAUUUUAUAUUUUACUCUUUUCGUACUCUACUUUUUUCCUUUAAAUUUCAUUAUGCGGUGUAUUUGAAGCGGCGUGGAAAUAGGUGCAUAUUUAUUAAUGCCUUGUGGAUUUCAAGACCCAAAUCUUGCCAAAGAAGAUGCGCUUGAUGACCAGAUGAUUCAUAGUGGAAUUCUUGGAGUUAAGGGUUGAAUUUUAUUGCUUACCUAAGCUUGUGUUGGGUACUUGUGUCUUUUGGUGGUAGAAAACUGUAAUAUUAAUUUGAAGGGCAUGAAUUGGAUUCAGAUGAUGGAAGAUGUAUGUUUGGGAAAAGGUAAAAAUAAAAUAAAAUUCUGUAGUAAAGAAGACAUGGUUACUCACCUGGUGUCGU
rnacentral:misc_RNA from 1 species